GACGAACGCUGGCGGCGUGCUUAACACAUGCAAGUCGAACGGAAAGGCCCUGCUUUUGUGGGGUGCUCGAGUGGCGAACGGGUGAGUAACACGUGAGUAACCUGCCCUUGACGUUGGGAUAACUUCAGGAAACUGGGGCUAAUACCGGAUAGGAGCUCCUGCUGCAUGGUGGGGGUUGGAAAGUUUCGGCGGUUGGGGAUGGACUCGCGGCUUAUCAGCUUGUUGGUGGGGUAGUGGCUUACCAAGGCUUUGACGGGUAGCCGGCCUGAGAGGGUGACCGGCCACACUGGGACUGAGAUACGGCCCAGACUCCUACGGGAGGCAGCAGUGGGGAAUAUUGCACAAUGGGCGGAAGCCUGAUGCAGCAACGCCGCGUGCGGGAUGACGGCCUUCGGGUUGUAAACCGCUUUCGCCUGUGACGAAGCGUGAGUGACGGUAAUGGGUAAAGAAGCACCGGCUAACUACGUG
rnacentral:rRNA from 1 species